CAGAACGACAUAAAAGUCGCUCUCCACCCGACUUAGUUCCAGACAUCUGGAGACAAGCUACACUACAAGUUUUCUCUCUUCUCUCAGCGACGAACCCUCAUCAUGAAGACCGCCAUCCUGCUCCUUGUGCUGGGACUGGUAGUGGCUGAUGCCGCUGUGAUUCACGUGACGAAUGGAAAAGAGAAGUCCACUGGGUUGGAGCGGUCCAUCCCGUGUCCAACAGGCGCGCAGUGUUACUCCGGUAACUGCGGUGUCGUCAUGUCUUCUGGAGGCCACGCCCUCUGCUGCUGUGGCGGGUCAAGUAUGACUGUCCACGGUAAUCUCAACAUGGGCAGUCCAACCUGGUACCUGGUUCCGUGUACCUGCAGUUACUAGAGUAUGUACCCGACGCUGAAACAAUGAGAAAAGCACGCAGACCGUCGACAUCACGAUAUUACGUUCAUCUAUUUUUGACUGUAAAUAAAUUCACCAAACGUUC